CGUGUCUCCCUCCUGUCUCCCAUCCCAUGAUUACCCCUGACACUGCUCGCUCCCUCACACUCCCUCACUUGGUGUCCUUGUUUUUGUGCCGCUGAUAUUUGCUGUUCUUGGGAGAAAUAAGAAGUGGCGGAGCAAUACUCCAUUGCCUUCUGGCUGCACUACACCUCUGUGACCCCAUUCAUGGAAGACUGCUCAAAGAAGUCUGAAGUGUGAAGCAACUCAGUACCCUCCAUUGAGGAGUAGCAAUUCCACUGUUCCAGUUAACUGCAUGGCGAGCCAACCCAAGAAUGGAUAAGAAUGCUGAGGUUUUAUUGAAGCUCGAGCUUUGUUUCCAUCGCGUGGUGAAACAGAUACCUGCAGAAGGCCCCAACAAU